rnacentral:rRNA from 1 species
AUGGAGCUGCCCGACCCUAUGCCGGGCAACGAGGACCAAUUCGGGAAAUCCUCGGCGCCGUCGUGCCGUGACAUCAUCUGCGUCAACGGCGAUCAGAUCAGGCUCGUCGAGGUGGAUUACCAUCGGAGUGCCCAUGGUGUGAGCUUGGGUUAUGCCAGCACGGAUUUUGGAUGGAAGGCGAGGUCCUGGAGCCGGACGCUGUCUUCAGAGGAUUGGCACGACUGCUUUGAAGUAGACACGGAUGAGAUCCCCAUGACGGAUGAAGUAUACUCCUGUUUGUUCCCUGGUCCGCAGGAUGAUGAGAAAGUGGAUAAGCCAUCGUUGAGGCGGUUGAUCUGCUACGCUCCCACCCUGAGCAUUGAGGAUAAUAUUCUCUACAUGAUGUCCAAGCUGACCCUUGAUCCAAGGAACCCUGUGGCAUGGUUGGCUGCUGUUGACAUGGGAAACAAAGCACUGGAACUUGUCUCUGUUACUGAUGAAAUUGCGUCCCGUUGCAAUCAGAUCCAUCUCUCUUGUGGAUUCUCCAAGUUUCUCAGAUGA